UACGGGGGGGGGCAAGCGUUGUUCGGAAUUACUGGGCGUAAAGGGUUCGUAGGUGGCCUGCUAAGUCAGACGUGAAAUCCCUCAGCUUAACUGGGGAACUGCGUCUGAGACUGGUGGGCUUGAGUGCAGGAGAGGAACGCGGAAUUCCAGGUGUAGCGGUGAAAUGCGUAGAUAUCUGGAGGAACACCGGUGGCGAAGGCGGCGUUCUGGACUGUUACUGACACUGAUGAACGAAAGCCAGGGGAGCAAACGGG
rnacentral:rRNA from 1 species